GUCGAGCGGCAGCACGGGUACUUGUACCUGGUGGCGAGCGGCGGACGGGUGAGUAAUGCCUAGGAAUCUGCCUGGUAGUGGGGGAUAACGCUCGGAAACGGACGCUAAUACCGCAUACGUCCUACGGGAGAAAGCAGGGGACCUUCGGGCCUUGCGCUAUCAGAUGAGCCUAGGUCGGAUUAGCUAGUUGGUGAGGUAAUGGCUCACCAAGGCGACGAUCCGUAACUGGUCUGAGAGGAUGAUCAGUCACACUGGAACUGAGACACGGUCCAGACUCCUACGGGAGGCAGCAGUGGGGAAUAUUGGACAAUGGGCGAAAGCCUGAUCCAGCCAUGCCGCGUGUGUGAAGAAGGUCUUCGGAUUGUAAAGCACUUUAAGUUGGGAGGAAGGGCAUUAACCUAAUACGUUAGUGUUUUGACGUUACCGACAGAAUAAGCACCGGCUAACUCUGUGCCAGCAGCCGCGGUAAUACAGAGGGUGCAAGCGUUAAUCGGAAUUACUGGGCGUAAAGCGCGCGUAGGUGGUUCGUUAAGUUGGAUGUGAAAUCCCCGGGCUCAACCUGGGAACUGCAUUCAGAACUGUCGAGCUAGAGUAUGGUAGAGGGUGGUGGAAUUUCCUGUGUAGCGGUGAAAUGCGUAGAUAUAGGAAGGAACACCAGUGGCGAAGGCGACCACCUGGACUGAUACUGACACUGAGGUGCGAA
rnacentral:rRNA from 1 species